UCGAACCGAGUUAGACAUUAUUCAGACAACAUAAUGUCUCAGACGCUACUUGAUUCGCUCUAGCAUGCGGAAUUAUGCGGACCAAUUCACUGCAAUUCAUUAAAUUAUCGGCCUGAACAGUAUGCAAGUCACUGGCUAACAUGUCCUUAACGUACACGUUUGGCCUGAUACCUUACAAUACAUUAGGAUGUGUUGUUCACGGUCUGUAAUUUGGAUACAGUGAAAAUGUCUUGUUUACCGUCUGUUGUGAAGUUUUACAGCCAUGGAUUUGUGACGUCAUUACACACUCAAGUACGAACAGACAUAUCAAACUACGGAAAGCGGCAAACAAUUCAAGAAUCAAGUUUCCCAAACUAUUAUUGCGGUUGCCUCCCCCAUCAAGCUCAAUGUCAAUAUGAGCUAAAGAAAUCAUAAAAAUACAUCACCUAGAAUCCGUCUUCGAGUGCUAAUUGUAAGUAGGAGUAUUAAAACUUUACAAAUUUAUAUGAAAUUAGACAUACAGGUCGACUUAGAAUUGAUUUCAUAUCAAGGCUAAUUUCAAACUAUAGAGACUAAUUCCAAAGUAUUUUAUGCGCCACUAAAUGCGUGUGUGUGUGUGUGUGUUUAAUAAAUAAAAUUAUAAACCAAAAUGAAGUGUCUACGAAACAAAAUAGAAACAGAAUUUGUAGCGUGCACCAAUGCGCCGCACUUGUUAGAAUAAACAUCGCGAAGCCAUUAUAGAAGACAAUCGCCAGAUGCCUUUUCAAGGGAAACCGGAAACUUCGUCUACAUCACAAUAACAGAAAAUAUUUCAAGAAACAUAAUAGGAAACCAAUAACGUAAGAAUUCGUACUCAAGCUCGCAUUUCUUUGCAGCAAAUAAAAUAAUAAUAUAUGCAUUUAUACUCACAAUAGAAAGUUCGAGAAAACGGACGGAAAUAAAUCUGUACAAAUAAAUAUUAAAUUCAUGUAAUAACCUUCCGUA